AGUGAAUCAGAUGGUCUGUGACAUUAACUAUUUACUCGCUACAAUACCACAUUUAAAGUUAUUGUGACUGUUGUUGACAGUUGGCAGCGUUUUGACCGAUUCGUACAGCUAUUAAAGCGCCCUUAAUGACCAAAAGAGCCUGCUUUCUUCCCAAUCUCAAACCGAAUUGACAGAUUGAAGAGUGGUAUUUACGUGCAGUCGCCGCUAAAUUCAGACUGAAUUUUUCCUGCGAAAACGUUGAAAGUCUUUUAAAGCUGACGCUUUUAGAAGAGGAACUUAGAGGGAAAAUCUCAACCACAAAAUCGCUGUUGUGCAGAUUGUUAGCUCAAUCUACAAAUUCCAUACAGGAGCAAACUGUAACGCUAUUGGAAAUUGCAUCUGAUGAAUCGAGCUGUCGACCGUUUUUUACAGUUAUUUCAAAGUUUAAGAAGUACACAGUCGUCUUGGAAGGUAAGUAAGCUGGUAUCGUUGAAACAUGAUGAAAAAUCCACAUCUUUCAUUCAAACGGUAAUGUGGGCCUUUCCGUUAGAAUAAAUUAGUAUUACCAAAUAACAGGUGUAAUACAGCAGGAUAAGGAUUUUGUUGAAUUUCACAGCACCUUUAGCAAAGGCGAUUUCAAGUUUCCCUUUGAUGCAUCGUUUUUUAGUGAGCAAGAAUAUAGUCAUUUUUUGUGGAAAUUAAACCUGAUUUCUUUUAUCGGUAAUCAUAACUUAUGAUAAAUCCUCGAUGCAACGCAGUGGGUAUUUUAUUAUCAUCUAAACUUGCUUGUAAUAUUUCCAUAAAUCGACAAAGGAAUGAUGGAUGAUAGCGUAGAUAUUUUUUGUCUUCUUUUUUCUUUCGAAAAUCAUCCCGCGACUUAAUCCUAAAAGAUCCUAAAGUGAUAUUCUUCCUCUGCGUUUCAAAUCAAUGAGGCAGCCAACGCGCGAGAUGCAUUUUAUUUCGCUAUAGUUACAGGCGAGUCAUGCACUCGUACCAUCAUAUAAAUCCCGGUUGGGUUUCUUCAUGCCAUUAUUUUUGUCUUUGAUCCAAAGUUCUUUCAAUUAUACCGCGAAAAACAUCAGUAGGAAAGCAAUGCCGUGGUGUCUUAUAGUUACCUUUACAAAAUUCUUCUAUUCCUUAUCAAUUAAAAACCGAAUAAUUUCUACCGCUGUUGCACGCUUUUAAGAACACUUCGGGUCUGACCGCAUAUUUGCACUUUGAAUAAAUCCACUCGCCAGUGACGGGCAGAACUAUCAGAACAUGGAAUCGGACAAAAUGAUUUAGAAUUUUACCUCAAUAACGAUUCUAAAUCGAUAUUUUUAUCAGCAUCCUUUUCUUACUCCUCGGUUCUUUUUUAAUGCCACAAAUGAAACAUUGUUACUGUUACAUUAAUUUCACAGUAGCUGGUUUUAAAGCGAAUUAGGUCGGUCUCCGCAAUUUUUAAUAGCUCCAGGGCUUGGGUGAAUCAUUAGCGAAUAAAAAUUACAUUGACCGAUUCGAUAAAAUAUUUAUCCCUUUGUAAGUGCUUGUAACGUUCUUAAUUUUGUAGGUUAGCGAGUAAAUCGAUUUAUUCCAACUAAAUCCAAGGUAUGAAAAAAAUAGAGAAGAGAACGGAACCGAAAACGAAAAUAAACAAUCAAUAAAAGUGAUAAAAUAACUCUGCUUCGUAUUCAGUCAGCUGACCCCUUUUUGGCGCUGAAUAUUUUUUUGGAUGUAGACAUUUUAAAACCUUUGGUGAUGUAUCAAUAUCCUUUGUCUCGAUCAAAGUAUAAUCAAUUUAAGUUUCGCAGAGAGCGAUAUUUACAUUUUCAUUUGACACCUGCUGAGUUUAUUUUCCAUUUGACCGGCCUUACCUCAAGAGUGGAUUGUGAUGGAAGACCUUUCUACUCGCCGCUGUUGCCCAGCUUCUGAAGAAUGCCCGACCUGAUCAAAGAGCUAAACCGCAGAUACACACUUUGAGUAAAAUAUACAUACUUCUUUAUUCAACCUUGUGCUUACGAACUGCUUGUAUUUAAAAUUGAUAUUUUCAUCGCUGUUUGCUGUUAUUUCUCGGCUUAUGCUUCUUUUUCAGUGAUGUUGUGAGACAUUUUUUAGUAACAAACAGAAGUGUCGCGGAGUCCUUGUGCAGCUUUAGCGACUUUAAAAGCCUUUUAACUAAGAAAUAAGAUCAUAUGAAAUUUCCACCGUUCAUUUCCGUAGCUAACCCUCAAUCCUUCUUAAGUCAGGCUGAGCUGUUACCUGACUAUUGGUUACAACUCGCUUCAACCAAUUCUGAAAUUGUCGUUACUCCAUUAGUAGAUUGAAAGGACGAUAUAUUGUUCUUCAUGAAGACACCUCUGUCCUUUUGUCGUAGGCGGACCGCGUGGAACUGUAACUGAAUGUACCGUCCCCAGGGGGACUCCCAUAUAAAGUAUAUAAACAAGACGGGGAUGCUUGUUGGAAAUUUCAGUUUGAAAACAACUCCAAAAAAGUACCAAGAUCCUGUUUUGUGGGCGUGGCUUGAAUGUUUUUCACCCCUUAGAGGUACCAAUUCUAAGCAACAAUUAAUCUGCUCUCACAUUUUUUCGGCCCAAUACCCUAAAAGGUACCGCCAAAGCUCCCGCUGUGUUC
rnacentral:lncRNA from 1 species